rnacentral:rRNA from 1 species
UACGGAGGGUCCAAGCGUUAUCCGGAAUCAUUGGGUUUAAAGGGUCCGUAGGCGGCCCGAUAAGUCAGUGGUGAAAUCUCCCGGCUCAACCGGGAAAUGGCCAUUGAUACUGUCGGGCUUGAAUUAUUAGGAAGUAACUAGAAUAUGUAGUGUAGCGGUGAAAUGCUUAGAUAUUACAUGGAAUACCGAUUGCGAAGGCAGGUUACUACUAAUAUAUUGACGCUGAUGGACGAAAGCGUGGGUAGCGAACAGG